AUCAAACUGAGCAAGGCACUUUCCCUAGAUAAGUCACGAGUUUGCACUUUCUGUUCAUUGAGUCCUGAUUACACUCCAUCAUCACUCAAGAGUAAUUUCCAAAACGCAGCUGCAACAUCCACUUGAUAUACCGAAGGCGACAAGGACAGUGGCCCAGACAUGGCACGCAGAAAGGCAAACAGACAUCAGGGCACACGUCUGAACGGGACAAUCCAGAACGUUCGAUUGGCCCCUUUUACGAUGCUUUUUUGCUCGCCUCGUAAGCCUGAUGUGUUCGAAUCGAACUGGCAGUGAAGAAGGCACGGCAUAGUCUGAGUGUGCUUCCCGUACAAAACGCCGCACCGACGAAGUAAUGCAAUGUUUGAGCCAAAAGGGAAAGGGAGUAAGCUGAUGGCAGUGUUGCCAAAGGAGUGGAAAGACAAAACUCUAAAUUGUCAAUAACCGCCCAAGUAACCACAAAUAUUAGAAUAUUUCAUUAAUUUGACUGAACGUCAAUAUUUUUUUGCAUUACGAAUGUUCUUUUGCUCUUAUUCCUUAACUGUCAAGUGCUUUAUAGCAUUGCUUCAACUCAACAAUGACCUUAGCAUUUUGGGCGAGUUUAGAGUUACUCUAUCAUGCAAGAUUGCAUCUCUUAUCAAAUGAUUUAUUGUCAACAAUAGUACAAGUUUUCGCUUGG